rnacentral:rRNA from 1 species
AGAGUUUGAUCCUGGCUCAGAUUGAACGCUGGCGGCAUGCCUAACACAUGCAAGUCGAACGGCAGCACAGCAGUAGCAAUACUGUGGGUGGCGAGUGGCGGACGGGUGAGGAAUACAUAGGAAUCUACCCAAACGUGGGGGAUAACGUAGGGAAACUUACGCUAAUACCGCAUACGACCGAGAGGGGAAAGCGGCGGACUGCAAGGCGUCGCGCGGUUGGAUGAGCCUAUGUCCGAUUAGCUAGUUGGCGGGGUAAUAGCCCACCAAGGCGACGAUCGGUAGCUGGUCUGAGAGGAUGAUCAGCCACACUGGAACUGAGACACGGUCCAGACUCCUACGGGAGGCAGCAGUGGGGAAUAUUGGACAAUGGGCGCAAGCCUGAUCCAGCAAUGCUGCGUGGGUGAAGAAGGCCUUCGGGUUGUAAAGCCCUUUUGUACGGGAAGAAAUCCUGUCGGUUAAUACCCGGCGGGGAUGACGGACCGAA